UCGCCCGGGAGUUGCCAUUGCAGGGCGAGGGUUCCUUGGACCGGUACGACCGGUGGUCGGGUGCGAAUCCUGCGGGUGAUC
rnacentral:tRNA from 1 species